UCCGGUGGUCAUGGCGGAGAGGAAACGCCCGGUUACAUUCCGAACCCGGAAGCUAAGCUCUCCAGCGCCGAUGGUACUGCAUGGGGGACCGUGUGGGAGAGUAGGACACCGCCGGAC
rnacentral:rRNA from 1 species